CUCUUAUCCUGAGUGGCGGAGGGACAUGGACCCAACGAAGCCCAGCAACCUCUCCUAAGCGGAGAAAGGUGCCAAACCGUUUGCAAAUGUCAUAGAAGACGUUUGAACGAUAAGAG
rnacentral:ncRNA from 2 species